ACGAGAAAUCACUGUACUAGCAGGAUGAGAGACAUAACGGUAUUGUGUUAGUAUACUGACAACAGAAAUGCAGGCAUGCCGUCUAUAAAUAACACUGAUGAGACAAGUAAAUUAUUAAAGACAAGUACACUAUACAGGAGACGUGAUGUCCAACCACAUAAAGGAUAUGGCGCCCGACACACAUUCACAAUCCUGUCAUUUAUUGGAUAUUUCCAUCUAUAUGCCCUUCGUUUUAACCUCAGCGUUGCCAUAGUUUCCAUGGCAAACUACACAGAUACCAAUUCCUACCAAAAUUACACAGACAGCGGUGUGUGCCCAGGACCAGCUCUAGACAGUUCAAAAACAACAACCAAUCAGGCUGUAAAAUUUGACUGGGAUGAGCGUACACAGUGACUUAUUCUCAGCUCUUUUUUCUACGGCUACGUUGCCACACAAAUACCGGGAGGUUACUUGGCUACAAAGUUUGGAGGACAGUGUAUUUUUGGAUACGGCGUGUUGAUCACUGCCAUUCUGACCUUGGUAACUCCUGUUGUUGCAAAAGUUGGGACUUGGGCACUGAUUAUUGUUAGGAUUAUUGACGGAUUGGCAG